GACUUAAUUCAUUUUCCCCAUGUUUUUGGAUGCCAGACUGAUGUUUCACUGAUCGCGAUACUGCUGGGAAGAGGCCUGCAGGUGGCUCCUUUCCCGUGGAUCACGUCAGUCCCCGUGCUGACCUUCAGCAUAAAACUUUGCACCAAACUGUGGGGACCAAGGAGAAGCAGGCGCCUGGCUUUGACACAGCAGUGGAGGGCGACCUCAGCCCUUUUCCCGUCAUUCUCUGCUGCACAGAGGGAGCAGCCACAGGGCCAGAUGUCUGAGUGAUGGAGGGGGAUGUAGUUUAAAGAUAAGAAAUCACAGAAUGGGUGCCUGGGAUGACAGCUGGGAGGGCUGGCUCCAGCGCGUGUACUCCGAGGCAGCCUCGGCUCUGCCUAUGCUGACAAUUGCCCCCAAACUACAACCAUCUCCCUGGGGCAGGGUCUCUACCCUCCCACCCCGCGAAGAGCCAUGGCAAGUGGAACCCAGCAGAAGGACAGUAUCGAGCUGGAGAGACUGGGA
rnacentral:lncRNA from 1 species